AUUGAACGCUGGCGGAAUGCUUUACACAUGCAAGUCGAACGGCAGCACGGGGGCAACCCUGGUGGCGAGUGGCGAACGGGUGAGUAAUACAUCGGAACGUGCCCGGUCGUGGGGGAUAACGUAGCGAAAGUUACGCUAAUACCGCAUACGAUCUGAGGAUGAAAGCGGGGGACCUUCGGGCCUCGCGCGAUCGGAGCGGCCGAUGUCAGAUUAGGUAGUUGGUGGGGUAAAGGCCUACCAAGCCGACGAUCUGUAGCUGGUCUGAGAGGACGACCAGCCACACUGGGACUGAGACGCGGCCCAGACUCCUACGGGAGGCAGCAGUGGGGAAUUUUGGACAAUGGGCGCAAGCCUGAUCCAGCCAUUCCGCGUGGAGGACGAAGGCCUUCGGGUUGUAAACUGCUUUUGUAUGGAACGAAAAGGCUCUGGCUAAUACCUGGGGCUCAUGACGGUACCGUAAGAAUAAGCACCGGCUAACUACGUG
rnacentral:rRNA from 1 species